GACGAACGCUGGCGGCGUGCCUAAUACAUGCAAGUCGAACGAGAGCGACCGGUGCUUGCACUGGUCAAUCUAGUGGCGAACGGGUGAGUAACACGUGGGUAACCUGCCCAUCAGAGGGGGAUAACAUUCGGAAACGGAUGCUAAAACCGCAUAGGUUCUACAGUCGCAUGACUGAAGAAGGAAAAGAGGCUUCGGCUUCUGCUGAUGGAUGGACCCGCGGUGCAUUAGCUAGUUGGUGAGGUAACGGCUCACCAAGGCCAUGAUGCAUAGCCGACCUGAGAGGGUGAUCGGCCACAUUGGGACUGAGACACGGCCCAAACUCCUACGGGAGGCAGCAGUAGGGAAUCUUCCGCAAUGGACACAAGUCUGACGGAGCAACGCCGCGUGAGUGAAGAAGGAUUUCGGUUCGUAAAACUCUGUUGUUAGAGAAGAACAGCGCAUAGAGUAUCUGUUAUGCGG
rnacentral:rRNA from 1 species